GAGUUUGAUCAUGGCUCAGGACGAACGCUGGCGGCGUGCUUAACACAUGCAAGUCGAGCGGUAAGGCCUUUCGGGUACACGAGCGGCGAACGGGUGAGUAACACGUGGGUGAUCUGCCCUGCACUUCGGAUAAGCCUGGGAAACUGGGUCUAAUACCGGAUACGACCUCCUAUCGCAUGGUGGGUGGUGGAAGAUUUAUCGGUGCAGGAUGGGCCCGCGGCCUAUCAGCUUGUUGGUGGGGUAAUGGCCUACCAAGGCGACGACGGGUAGCCGACCUGAGAGGGUGACCGGCCACACUGGGACUGAGACACGGCCCAGACUCCUACGGGAGGCAGCAGUGGGGAAUGUUGCACAAUGGGCGAAAGCCUGAUGCAGCGACGCCGCGUGAGGGAUGACGGCCUUC
rnacentral:rRNA from 1 species